UAGGGAAUCUUCCGCAAUGGACGCAAGUCUGACGGAGCAACGCCGCGUGAGUGAAGAAGGAUUUCGGUUCGUAAAACUCUGUUGUUAGAGAAGAACAGCGCAUAGAGUAACUGUUAUGCGUGUGACGGUAUCUAACCAGAAAGCCACGGCUAACUACGUGCCAGCAGCCGCGGUAAUACGUAGGUGGCAAGCGUUGUCCGGAUUUAUUGGGCGUAAAGCGAGCGCAGGCGGUCAAUUAAGUCUGAUGUGAAAGCCCCCGGCUCAACCGGGGAGGGUCAUUGGAAACUGGUUGACUUGAGUGCAGAAGAGGAGAGUGGAAUUCCAUGUGUAGCGGUGAAAUGCGUAGAUAUAUGGAGGAACACCAGUGGCGAAAGCGGCUCUCUGGUCUGUAACUGACGCUGAGGCUCGAAAGCGUGGGGAGCGAACAGG
rnacentral:rRNA from 1 species